CCAGUCGGUAGCAGUCAGCAGAGCAGAGAACGCAGGCAGAGGCAGAGCGGCAGCCCGCAGAGCAGGCACCAUACCAGUCAACCACCGCUUCGUUCUCCUCCCACACCGCUCGCCUUCGCCUUCCCAUCUUCUAUCAUCCCCGAGCUCCAGUUCUCCACACCUCACGUCUAUAAAUAAUAAAUAAGGCGCCCGCGGUGCCCAUCAAUUCGUGUCACCGCGUCCCGAGAGCGCAAAUCAUUCCGCGCGACGCAAAAACCCUAGCCCAGCCACCGACCCCUCUCAUGGCAACCACCACCACCCAGGCGAGCCUCCUCCUCCAGAAGCAGCUAAGAGAUCUCGCGAAGCACCCGGUGGAUGGGUUCUCUGCUGGGCUGGUCGACGACAGCAAUGUCUUCGAGUGGCAGGUCACCAUCAUCGGACCGCCUGACACCCUAUAUGAUGGAGGGUACUUCAAUGCAAUAAUGAGCUUCCCACAAAAUUACCCAAACAGCCCGCCAUCAGUCAGAUUUACCUCUGAAAUGUGGCAUCCAAAUGUCUAUCCUGAUGGGCGGGUUUGUAUCUCUAUUCUUCAUCCACCUGGUGAAGAUCCAAACGGUUAUGAGCUCGCAAGUGAGCGAUGGACACCUGUGCACACAGUAGAAAGCAUAGUUCUGAGCAUUAUAUCAAUGCUCUCUAGUCCAAAUGAUGAGUCUCCAGCAAACAUUGAGGCAGCUGUAAGUUCACCUACCAAUUUAUUUUAUACUGAUUUUGUUUACUGGACCUCUACUUAUGGGCUGCUACAAUAUCAAAUACUUCAUGUCUGUGUCAUGUUGUAUCUGCUACCAAUUCGUAAUUGUAAAAUGAUAACAACAUCAUCUGUGUUACAACUAGAUAGCAUGCUAGUAUUAAAGAAGAAAUCAGUGCCGAGAUGUCUUAAACAAAGUACCUUAGUGCCAUUAUUGGUAGGGAUGAAAACGGUUUCGGAGUUUUUCCGAAUUCCGGAAACCGUUUACGAUUUUUUUCCGAUCGGGUUCGCCGGUAACGGUUUUUCUCGGAAACGGAAUCGGUAUUUGGAGUUUUAUAUCGGUAUCGAAAUCGAUACAUCGUUUUACUAACGUUUUCUUCGGUUACCGAUUUUGAUCGGAAUUUACCGAAAUUUCAUAUCGGAAUUUACUAGAAAUGAAAUGGACCCAUAAACAAUAUACAACCCAAUAGGUCAUUGGUGCCCUAGCGGCCUAGCCCACUCGGCCUGUCGGUUACUCCAAGUUGGACUCUCACAGCCGCUGUGCGUCGUCGUCUGUCAGCCUCCUAGGCUCCCAGCCGCCGCACGCCAGCUCUUGCGACGUCGCGAGAGCGAGCUCGCGUGACGCGCCACGACGCCAGCAGCUGCCCGCUGGCCGCCGAGCCCUGCCUCCACCUCGCCGUCGUCCAUCUCCGGGGCUCUCCCUCCACCUCACCGAGUCGUCGUCCUUCACAGCAGAAGGAAUGGAGGGAACAGAGGGAGGAUUUCAAGAAAAAGGUUAGGCGCAUCGUGCGGAAAUCACAGGAAAUGUUCUGAAGGAAAUGGGAGUCCUGGCGAAGUUAACCAUGCCAUCUCAGGCUGCAGGAUUUUGCUGCCAACCUCAAAGUGCUCAUCUGACACCAGCGUCUUGUGUAUUUUCCAUUUAUCGUCUGUUCAUUGGUGACAAUUGCCUCCAGAAAUGCAUUGGGACGUGGUCGGCUUGAAGGUUCUGUUUGUGUCGUGUGGCUUGCGCUCUACUAAUGUUUGGCAAACCUGAAGUGGUACCGGUUAUCGUAAAUUUGGUGGUGAACCUGGCAUAAGCAGGCACCAUUCAUGUCAUCUAGCCGUUUUGAAAACAUAUCAGGCCUUGUUCGUUUCUUAUCAAAAUCAAUUGGUUGGAGGAAAUUAAGGCUUUAUUUA